UAAGUAAAUUACAUCUAUAUAUAACCACUUCCAAAAAAUAAAACUAUAUGAUAGUAAAGUGAAGUAUGUAAAAUAUCCUUUGGUCUAAUGGCUAUUUUUGUUUUUCCAAAGAUAAUUUAUCUAUAACUAUUAAUAUUUCAAAAAGCUUUGCUAUCAAUGUCAACUGGUCGAGGGGGAUUCAGCAAGCUCAAAUGUUUUUUCUGAAUAAUAAAAAUGCCCAGAAUAGAAACUAGCAACAAAAGUCAACAGAGAGGGAGUGAUGGAAAGAGGGAAGCUAGGCAAAUUGCUUUAUAUUUUGCAUAACUGAAGAGCCAGAUGGCUUAACUGGAUUUUUAUUUUCAGAACCACCCACUGCAGGAUUUUAAGUAAGUUCUCAAGUCAAACACUGUAUUGCAAAACAGAGUUUAACAAUGUCUUGACCAGAGCCCACAACCUUAUCCAGGCAUUACCAGAUUCCUAUCCUUGUGAUGCAGCCAGAUCUGUCUUUUACUGGAAGAAGAAACCCUGGAGCCUGAGAUACUGUUAUGCCUAAAUGAUAAAGGGAUUAGCUUUUGGCUUUUGCGUAUCAGCCCCUGCACUGCAUUGCAUGAUCCUGUUGAACAGAAGACCACCUGGCAAACCAGAUAACCAGAUGCUGUGCAGCGAACACUAAACUGUGAUCUCUGAAGGUCACUGGUUGAUGAACAGCCAACUGGAUCAGGUCAGUUUAAAAUGAUUGGUUUGGUCUUUUUGCCCAC
rnacentral:lncRNA from 1 species